UUCCGGUUGAUCCUGCCGGAGGCCAUUGCUAUCGGAGUCCGAUUUAGCCAUGCUAGUCGAGCGAGGUUAGCCCUCGCGGCGAACAGCUCAGUAACACGUGGCCAAGCUACCCUGCAGAGGGGGACAGCGUCGGGAAACUGACGGGAAUCCCCCAUACCGGUCUCACGCUGGAAUGCCGAGACCGACAAACGCUCCGGCGCUGCAGGAUGCGGCUGCGGCCGAUUAGGUAGUCGGUGGGGUAACGGCCCACCGAGCCGAUAAUUGGUACGGGGUGUGAGAGCACGAGCCCGGAGACGGAAUCUGAGACAAGAUUCCGGGCCCUACGGGGCGCAGCAGGCGCGAAACCUUUACACUGCACGAACGUGCGAUAAGGGGACUCCGAGUGCGAGGGCAUACAGUCCUCGCUAUUGUGUACCGUAGGGUGGUACACGACCAAGAGCUGGGCAAGACCGGUGCCAGCCGCCGCGGUAAUACCGGCAGCUCGAGCGAUGGCCGAUUUUAUUGGGCCUAAAGCGUCCGUAGCUGGCCCUGCAAGUCCGUCGGGAAAUCCACUCGCCUAACGAGUGGGCGUCCGGCGGAAACUACAGGGCUUGGGACCGGAAGACUUGAGGGGUACGUCUGGGGUAGGAGUGAAAUCCUGUAAUCCUGGACGGACCGCCGAUAGCGAAAGCACCUCAAGACGACGGAUCCGACAGUGAGGGACGAAAGCUAGGGUCUCGAACCGGAUUAGAUACCCGGGUAGUCCUAGCUGUAAACGAUGUUCGCUAGAUGUGGCACAGGCU
rnacentral:rRNA from 1 species